rnacentral:misc_RNA from 1 species
UAAAAUCAAAUGGUGAAUUUGAAUAACUGAAACUGUAUUGCAAUGAGAAUGGCAAAAUAGCGGUUUACAAUUAAGCUUUCUCCAUACAAUUAUCUCUCUCCCUCGCCUUCUUAAUUCAUAGCAAAGAAAAUAACGAACAAGAGAUCCCGGAGACUACUCCCAUACUAGCAGAGCUAGUCCAAGCAGAUAGCCGACUUCAAAAUAAAAAUUCCAUACUUUUUUCUGCUAUACAAGUUCCCGUUUACGCAGGUCUCUCAUCCCACCAUUCUGUUGGUCCAUUCCAUGUGGCACUGCCCCUGCAGAACCCUUUAACUGAAUAAGUUCCCUUGUGUCCAAAACUUUCAUCUCUAUUUCCCAUUCCUAGUUCAUCCAUUUUUCUUCUGUGAUAUACUCUUAAUGUUUUUGGCCAUGAAUCUCAUCUUCCAAAGGCCUUUAGCUGAAUUCCUAUCACAAAACCUGUGAGAUCACAAUCAAAAUAGGUGGAUUUCAUACUACAUCAUACCUCUUGAUCAUGGAUCAGGUUUAAUCAUGAAUCAGGUUUAGAUAAAAAAUUUUCAACAGCUCCUAUAAAUAAUUUCACAAUUUAAAGCAGACCUUAUUAUUGUUUCAAGUCCCCUAAUACAGUAUGUAUGCUGGAGCAAUCUGGUCUGAGCAACUGUAGCAUCAUAAACAACAAUCACUUGCAGCCAGCAUUCUGCAGCUGAGCCCAGAGUAGAAACAAUUGUCCAAAGGGAAAUUAACCAAUCUAUUUAGGUUAUCAUUUACAGUAGAAAAAUUAAGAUUUACCAAAAUCCAAAAAAAAAACUACUAACCUGCAAAUAUUAUUAAAUUUAAAAAUUUAAUCAAAACCAAUAGCAUUAAAAGGAAAAUUCUUUUGAGAGUUUGCGAUGAAAACCAACAGUGUUUGUGUCAGAUCACAUGUAAUCAGCACAAAAAUGUAUCAGACAGGGAUAACUGUGUGAUAAUUUACAUUUCUCAUCACACACAACACUGUAUAGACCAACGAGAGGACAUCCCCAAAUUAGAGAAAAUAGUAAAUAAAGAAAAGCAAAACACGAAAAAGCCUCAGACCGUCCUAGUUCAUAAAAUUAUUUCAACAUUUAUGCAAGCUUGUUGACUUGCAUUUCGGUUGAACUACAAAGAGUCAUCAAUGGCUUCAGGACUGAAAUCCACGAUUAAAUUACAAACCCAGAAAAAAAGGCAAAAAUUAAAGCAAAAUUAGCAAGGCAUCGGAUCUUCCUAUUAAAGAAUAAGAAUCAUAAUACUCAAAUCAAAUGUCUGAGCAUUCAACGUAUCGGCAUAUGAUUCGUCAUUUGCCCUCUCUUCAAUUAUAAAUCUAAAGCAAGAAAUUGAAAACCAAAUGAAGUGUUCAAGAAAGGAAAAGCUUAAAGAACGACUGUUUUUCGAAAGUAGAUCAGUAAAGGAACGCUUUGUGUAGAUUCAAGAGACGCCAAUCCGUAGCGAGCUAGGG